UGGGGAAUAUUGCACAAUGGGCGAAAGCCUGAUGCAGCAACGCCGCGUGAGUGAUGAAGGCCCUCGGGUUGUAAAGCUCUGUCUUUUGGGACGAUAAUGACGGUACCAAAGGAGGAAGCCACGGCUAACUACGUGCCAGCAGCCGCGGUAAUACGUAGGUGGCAAGCGUUGUCCGGAUUUACUGGGCGUAAAGGAUGCGUAGGCGGAUUUUUAAGUGAGAUGUGAAAACCCUAAGCUUAACUUGGGGACUGCAUUUCAUACUGGAAAUCUAGAGUGCGGGAGAGGAGAAUGGAAUUCCUAGUGUAGCGGUGAAAUGCGUAGAGAUUAGGAAGAACACCAGUGGCGAAGGCGAUUCUCUGGACCGUAACUGACGCUGAGGCAUGAAAGCGUGGGUAGCAAACAGGAUUAGAUACCCUGGUAGUCCACGCCGUAAACGAUGAGUACUAGGUGUAGGAGGUAUCGACCCCUUCUGUGCCGCAGUUAACACAAUAAGUACUCCGCCUGGGAAGUACGAUCGCAAGAUUAAAACUCAAAGGAAUUGACGGGGUCAUAGCUG
rnacentral:rRNA from 1 species